GGGCUGUACUAUGUGUGGGUUUGUUGGGUUUGAUGCUCUCUGCUGAGGAUCCUUAGACCCUAACAUAAGGAGCUGGACAAGAGCAAAAAUGGACUUAGUAGGUCAGGAAAGCAGUUUAGCAGAACAAGAAGCAUGCUACAGAUCUCCUGCUUCACAACUCAAUUCCUUGCCACGUGUACCAUUCCACCAUCCCCUUUGCUGAACCAUGAAGUCAGGAGAAAGCAAAGACCUGAACCUUGUGAAAGUUUCCCAUUUUAAAUUGGGUUUGUCCCUUGAGAACAACUGAGGAAAAAAUGACUGUGCAGAACUGGUUCCUAGAAAACAGAUACUCCUACAAACACUGCUGCAGGAUGGAAUGGUCAGGACGGUGCAUGAAAUCAACUUCCUUUGCCCCUUUGGUUGUACUAUACCUAAAACAUGCCAGCUGAGCAGAGUUAAAUCAGCUGACUCACUUGCAGUUCACAUUGAAUAAGAGGAGUAACUGAACCAGCUAGGCUCCAGUGCCCCUGACGUUCGGAAAGACCAAAGUCUGCUGACCCCCUUUUCCUGCUGGAGAAGCAUUUAGAUAACUGUUCAGUCUACAGCAUGUUUGGUAAACAAACUUGAUGGAUUGGGUGGCAGAUUUAAUUUAAGUAGAGGAAUAGAGAGGUGUGCAAUUAUUAGUCAAUUACACAUCCAUUAAUAGGCUACUGCACUGAACUAUUAAUCAUUUGUGAACUUAAUUCUUUCCCCUCUCUUUCUUUAAAGGGCAGAUGCAGCUUUGAAAGAGAGAAAUGCUUCAGGAUAGACCCGUUGUCAUUGGAGAACAAGCCCAUCCCAGCUACAGCAUCAGCCAGUGGAAAGGAAACCUUGCUGAGAAAAUCAGAAGGGAAGCAUGGAACAGCUGGAGGUGCAGGACAGGGAGUGGAAAGGGCAGGAAAGGCAGUUAUGCCUCUUCUGUGGUACUGUGGUCAUUGGCAACUGGAGAUGUACCCAGUGGCUGGGCAGUAAGGUAGAGAUAUACUAAAGAAGUUGCAAGAACAAAUUACACCUGUAGCCAGAAAAAUUCAAGUACAUAUCCCUGAGGAUGAAGCCAUAGAGGCCCAGGUCUUCGUGUUACAGGAAUCACCUCCUGAAUCUGAAAUACCCGAGGAAGUAGACAACAUGGUAAAGCUAUUGUUAUGAGCUGGAGGAACCUCAGGAUGAUCACGGUGGACCAAAUGUGUGAUUGUACAAUUGUAGCUGAACUCCAGACUGGUCAGAAAAAAAAAAAAACAUUUGAACUGUUCGUGCAUGAAAGGCUGCAUAAUGCCCUGGGAGUCCUGGCACAGAGACUGAGAUUAUUGAGAGCAUUGGAACUAUUAAAAGAAAUUUUUUAAAAAAGAGUCAAUAUAUGGAAUGAUUCAAAAUUUGCAUUUGGAGUUGUACAUUGCCAUGGAGUAAUAUGGAAGAGAAGAGGACUGCUAUCCUACCAGGGAUCACAAAUAAAAUAUGGACCCAUUAUUAUAGAGCUACUAGAAAGUGUACAGCCUCCUCAGAAAGUAGCCAUAAUGCAUCGCAAAGCACAUCAGUUCAGUAACACUCCAGUGAAUUACAGCAGCUGACUUGCCAAUAGAGCUGCUGAAGCAGCCACAGAAGGAACUCUUUUAUUAGUAAUCCUGGACAAAUAUAAAUAACUAGGGAAAGAAGUCCCACGUUAUCAAGCUAAAGAUGAGAGACUGGCAACAUUACGGACAGUGGUUAAAGAUGACAAAGGAUAGUAGAUAACUCCAGAUAAACAGACAAUUAUCCCUCAAUCUCUUAUGAAUAAAUGGCCAGAAGAUUAUCAUUGAUUGACACAAUGGGGAAUAGAGACAAUGAUAGAAAGCAUGAGACACCAAGUUUUAAGUGUGCGAAUGGCAGGAAUCAUAAAGAAUAUUGUGAAAAGAUAUGAACUCUGUUUGAAAAACAAUCUCCAUCAACCUAAAUGACCUCCACUCAAAACAGCUAAGAAAGGAAACCAUCCAGGAGUUUAUUGGCAGAUGGAUUUUUGUGAAUCACUGCGGUGAUGUGAGCACAGGUAUGUCGUUGUAUGUGCACCUUUACUCCUGGAUGGACUUGUACACCGGUACCAACCUGCAGAUUGAGUGUACCUGAAGACAGGGUCAGAUAAGGAGAAGUGGAGAGGACCCUUCCAGACUUUACUCACCACCCAUGCAGCAGUCAGACUCAAGGGAAUCAGCCUAUGGAUUCACUGCAGUAGAGUCAAGCAGGUUUCUCAUAACAAUAAGUAAUGCAUUUAUUAACGGUGAGGGAAUGAAUGUGAAAGUGAAAAUUUGGUUUUAACAUUAAUACAAGGGUUUGGUAGGAUGUGCAAUGUCACUAGCAUCUGCGUAAUCAUAAUUAUAAGAGGUAUAGGACUGUAUAAGAUGUAUUAAAAGAUAUUUUGAAAGAAAUAUGUGGAAGUAAUUAGAAGAACUAACUAUUUACUUCCCAAGGAGGAAAUUGAUACCUGGCAAUUAAUUAACCACAGGCCCCUUGCAAGGACCCCAUACUAACACAGAGCGUGUGCAGUAUUAGAUUUUAACAUAUAUAGUAAUUCUUGUAAUAGGCAGGCACUCUGUGGAAAAUGUAUGAAUAUUCACACAUGUUCAGUGUAUCUGUGUAUAUCUAUCAAUGUAUCUAUUCAAUCAAUCUGUGUGCUUUUAGCUCCUGGCUUUGCACGUUAGGCGGAGCAAUCCCCUGUGCAUCCAGUAACACAAUAACAAUAUUGUCACAAUAACAAAUGCCUGCUUCUUAAUGCUACAUUAGCAUUAAUGAGUUUUGUUCCUGAUUUCAGUGGCAGAAUUGGUGUUAUUUCUUUUUUUUUUCUUUUUUUUUUUUUCCCCCACCAAGUAUGAGGGCAAGACAUUAUGUGGGUGUAUGAGGUAUCUUUAGAUAUGCAGUGAGACAACUCAGGCACUGGGGAAAACUCAUCUCUGGAUACUGUCUCUGUCUCCCAUUUUAUUUAAGUUUCUUUCAGCUGCUGCCAUGAGCCCAGGAUAUCUCUUUUCAGCUGGCAGGAGCUGACAUAGCAGAAAUAGCUAUCAAAUAUGAUAUAGGUUCUCCCUUUGAAUGCUCCUUCUUGCACCAUUCUUGGUACAGUUUAGGGUACCAGUAGAAGAAAUGAAGAAAGCAGACAUCAAAGAUACUGCACAAGGUCAGUCAGCACCGAGAAGAGCCAACCGUCCUUCUAUAUCUGAUGCAAAGUGCCACAUCUUAGCUUUGUUUUCUUUUUCAAAAACUCUACUGGAAUUUGAAGAGGUUUUAAAACACCAGUACAUGAUUUGAAUAAUUGUAUGCUCCAAGGAAUGUAUGCCACCCAGAACAACUGGUCUGUCCCAGAGAAAUAGUACAACACUUCCGAAACGGAAGAAAAGCCUGACUUCUACUGACUUCAGUCUUCUUUUGCAAGUGGGACUUCCCACUGAGAAUCUAAAUAUGCAUCAGAUGUCUAAAAACAGUAAAUCAUUUAAGGGUUUUAACUGGGAAAAUAGUUCAGCAGCCCUUAUGAAUUAUUACUUUUUCACAUUAUUGCAAUUAAAAAUCCUCAUUUUCUCAGUGUUUGCAUAAGCAAAGUGGUUUGCCUACGGUGAAUGCAGCUCCACUGAAGGAUGUGAUACCUACUCUGCAUUGGUGCUCUCUGUUCCAAUGGGUGCAACUCUGCCAAUACUGCAGAAAUUUGAGGAUGCUUUUCUCUGAAGCAGUAGUGUUUAAAAUUUCAUCCUGUCCAUUAGAUUGCUCCAGAAUUAGCCUUGUAAGUACAUCUGAGUUCUGUGGCAUCAUGUUGCACUAAAAGCCAGUCUCUGAGAUGAGGGACUCAGGCAGUUUAUUUAUAGUUCAGAAGGUCAAAUAGUUGCCUUAAUUGGAAAACACCACUCACCAGUCUCUGAGCGUAUUGAUGUACUUUGCAUUCGAUGCCAUUAGUUACUUGUGUGAGUUUCUAAUAUCACCUUUGUUAAUAAGAUACAUUCUCCAUAAUGGGCUGCUUGCAGGUUCCAAGAGCCAUUUAUAUGCUAAGUUUGACAAGUUAGAUGAUGCUAAACCCAUACUGAAAGCAAUAGCUGUCAGAACUGUACCUGGGUGCCAGGCAGAUGUCUGUGACCUUCAAACUGUUUUGGGAUGGGAUGUGCUAAAUCCCGUCUGUAUGGUAUGUGACCAGGCAGCAAAGGUAUUUCUUCAAAUAUAUCUUGAAUUCCUGCCAGAAAAGUUGUAUAUAAACCUCACAGCAAAAGUUUGAUGGACUUGGCUUGUAGUAGAAGGAAGGUGAAAUAAAGUCACAGAAUCACAGAAGUUGGAAGGGACCUCAAGAGAUCAUUGAGUCCAACCCGCUGCCAAAGCAGGUGCCCUACAACAGGUCACACAGGUUGGUGUCCAGACAGGACUUGAAUAUCUCCAGAGAAGGAGAAGGCAAGGUGCUCCCAACAUGUCUGAAUUAAAGCAUACGAUAGCAAACACACUGAGUGAUUUGAGAGACCUGAAGAUCUCUCAUCCAUAGAGAUGCAGAUUAGGGAAAAAAAAACCACAAAAACAAACCUCUUCUCAACGCAAAGGAAACUAUCUUAAAGAAGUCUAAAAAAUUCCUCUUGAUUUCACUUCUGCUGUUCCCACACUUUCCCUUGCCUACUAUUGUUGCUGAAGGUCAUGUCAAGUUUUACAUGUAGUAUGGCCCAGUAGACACAUGAUCUUAACCAUAGGAGGAAGGCAAAAUGUUAAUGUUCAUUGUGUGGAUUUAUGUAGGAAGGGAGCAAGGAAGAGGAUUAAUAUGGAGGUGGCUAAUGCUGGGACUACUCCAAGUUUCUCUGGAAUCGAGCUCAGGAUGGCAUAUACAAAUAGGAAUCACACCUCUGGUUUGAUGUGAGGGGGUGUGACUAGUGAAGUUGCUGAUGUGAAGUUUUCUGGGUCCCUUAAGAGGUUAGGGGAGAAUAAGGCUAAUAUUAGGAAGGGGAUAAAGGCAUGGGCUGAGAUGUGAAGGAAAGCUAGUUGUGAGAGAUCAAGUCCAGUGGUGACUAUUAUUAAGCUUAGCUGGCUGGAGGUGAACCUGAGGAUGUCUUUUAAUGAGAAGUAGUGAUAGAAGGGAUGGGUUGGGAGGUGAAUUAGGGAAUUGCUGACUAUUUUUAGUAGGGGAUGGGAUUUUCAGAUGUUGAGGGCCAUUAUUUUAUUAUCUAUGGGCUGAUAGAUUAAUUAUUAACAUUGAUAGAGUGAAGAAUCCUCAGUAGGUUUUGAUUAAGCCUGUGGAAUGUAGUUGUGAUUUUGCUUGCUGUCAGGUGGAGGUUAGCAAAGCCUUUGGGGCCUAUUUUCUUGUGUCAGGAUAUAUCGAUUAGGUGAAAGGCAAUUUUUUGUCCUUUAUUUAGUAGGUCUGUACAGCUGGAUCAGAGCAUUAGGGAGCUUAAAGUAGCCUAAGGAGGAGAAGUUUCUAAGGGUACUUUGUUUUAAGGGGAAGGUAAAGGUGUGGGUUAUAUUUGAAGUUCUAGAACUAGAAUAAUUCUGAGAAUUGUGAGCACAUAUAUAUGUAUUUUUAUAUAUAUAUAUAUAUGUAUAUAUAAACACUAAUAACCCAAUGAAACAUCCUACCAGUCCAAAUCACAUCCAUCCAAAACUCUAUCAUUUAUCAUAAACUUCAUAAUCCCCCUAACCUUAAAAAUAGACCCAUGCUCAAUACUAUUUUUCCAAUUGCAUAAUUUGUAACUUGAUCAAUCCUGGAAUUUGUAACAUGAUGCAUAGCCUCAGAACCAUGUAUCAAGAAAUUCUUCACCUAUCUUCUUUACGUCCGAAUUGCCAUACUAACCAUUGCAAACAGCAUAUUCCUUCUUUUGUAGGCUGAGAGGAAUUAUGUCAUUCCUAUUCAUUGGCUGAUGACAAUGUCAAGCCAAAACUAACACAGCAGCAUUAAAAGCUGUAGUCUACCACCAGAUUGAAGAUAUAUAAGGCAAUGUAAUAUAACACAAAAUAGAGAUAAGCAUGUGAGUUUUUAACACUUGAAUUCAGUACUGUGCAGUACAAAGUACAAAGGAUCUAAGUAGAGUAAAUUUAAAUUUAAGAAGGUAAGCAGUUUUAGUUAGUUUAAAAUGGCAGGCUGGAGUAUUUAUUUGAUAAAAAGUCAUUCAAGUAUUUGACAGAAAGUCAUAGAAAUGAAAAAGCUAGACAUAACUGUUUUUAAAACAGCAUAACAACAUAAAAUGGGAAGAAGAGAGACUGAGAUUGUACUAUUAAUGUUUUCAUGAAGAAACAAAACACCAGACUUAAACAAGCAAACUCUAGUGGAGGAAAUAGAAACCCUAUUUUCUGCGGAGUGUGCAGUGAGACAUAAUGGCUGUAUAACUUCUAAAAGUUUAUAGUUUAGUGGUGCAGGCUCAGAAUAAAAGAAUUCAAUAGCAAAAUGAGUCAACACUUAAACCUAAAUUGUAAUUUAUAAGGGACUCUCUUCUCACGCAAAUCAAAUUUGGAAGCAGAAUAAUGUCUUCUGAUAGCGAGGCAGUAUUUGCUGAAUGUUCUGGGUGGCAGUUUGCAAUACACAGACAUUUGAAAUUACAUUUAUAAAAUAAAUGUUCAAUUCAAAACAAUUUUUAGCCUAUUUGCUGACACAUAAUACAAAAUUGUUGCUACACUAUAUAUUUCUUCAUAUAAGGCAUUGCAACACGCAGACAGUAAUGAAAAAUGGAGGCAACAGAGUUCUUGCAAAUGAAAGCAAGAAUGUAACUCUGUUCUUCCUGCUUCCCACCAGGGAAUGGUGGCUUCCAAAACACUGGAAAACAAGGCAGUUGGUGAGAAAGUCUCAGAAUUGACUCCAUGUGUUAAAAAAAGAAGGCCAAACAAAGCCAAGAGUGGUCACUCCCUGGCAUGUGCACCCUGCCUGAUACUUCAGGGAGAACAGAGUCACAUGGGCCUACACAUCACUGUCUCUCUCCUUCACUCUGCAUCUGCCAGGACAGAUGCAAUAAGGAUGCUGGUGCAUAUUGAAGCUCUGCUCUUCCAGUGGAUCUCAGCAGAAUGCACACUGAAAUUUCUCAUAGCUGAUGUACUCUCCUCACAGCUUAGAAGCCCCACUCACAGCAUCACAUAACAGUCCAGACUGAAAGGGACCAUAAAGCCCACUCAGGCCCAACCCACUGCCAUGGCCUGGCUGCCCCCUCCAGCUCAGGCUGCCCAGGGGCCAAUCCAACCUGUCCUUGAGUGCCUCCAGGGAUGGGGCACCACAACUUCUCCGGGCAGCUGUGCCAGGGCCUCACUGCCCUCUGAGUAAGGAAUUUCAUCCUAACAUCUAACCUAAAUCAUGAGUUUUUCGGUUCAAAACUAUCACUCCUUUUCCUAUCACUAUCACUGCAAACUGUCUAAGAGUGCACUCAGCCCCACUGUCCAUGUCAAUGAGAGAUGUUCAGUAGUGCCAGUCCCAACACACACCCCUGAGGAACACCUCUUGUUACUUUUCUCCACCUGGACAUCAAGCCAUUGACCUCAGUUCUUUGAGUGAGACCAUCCGGCUGAUUUGGUCUGCAGCUGCUAGUAUUGUUUGUGUAUCCCCAGUAAGUUCACAAUCCAUACAAAAACAUUCAGACUUUGAUUAAGUCUUGCAAUGCAAAUCUAGGACAACGUUAGAUAAACUGAAUUUGCAUGUGAAAUUAAAUAGCACUAGGGACACUGUUCUGAGUUACGAAUUUUCACUUUUCAUUUAAUUAAGAACUUGUACUUUCAAAGUAACCUGAAUCUAUCACAUAAUCUCCAGUAGUACGCACCACAGUGCUGCAAGAACUGUGAACCUUUUAGCUAAACUUUAGAAUAGCAUGGCAUAAGCAUAGCAUAGUUCAGUUGGAAGAGACCUUCAGACAUCAUCUAGUCCAAGUGUCUGACCUCAUCAGGGCUAAACAAGAGUUAAGUUAAUGAAAGCAUCAUCCAAAUGCCUCUUGAACAUGGGACAUCAACCACCUCUCUAAGUAGCCUGUUCCAGUGUCUGAUUGCACUCACAGCAAAGACAUUUUUCCUGAUGUCCGGUCUAAUCCUCCCAUGGCACAGCUUGUGCUGUUCCCAUCCAGUUCCUAGGAGCAGAGCCAGGUAACUCCCUCUCCAUUCCCCUCCUCAGGGAGCUGCAGAGAGCAGUGAGGUCACCUCUUGGCCUCCCAUUCUCCAGACUAGACAACCCCAGUGUCCUCAGCCUCUGCUCACAGCACAUGCCUUACAACCCUGUUACCAGCUUUGUUGUUCUCUGGAUGCUUUCAAGGACCUCAUCAUCCGUUCCGUAUUGUGGAGCCCAGAACUGCACACAGCACUCCAGGUGAGGCCACACCAUUGCUAGAGAUACAGUGGGAUAAGCAGCUCUUUUGACCAGCUGGUCAUGCUGUGUUUAUUGCACCUCCAAGGGCAGUUUGCCCAUUUGACUGCCAGGGCACACUGCUGGCUCAUGCUGAGCCUGCUGUCACCAGCACCCCAAGGAACCUUCAUGCUGAGCUGCUCUCCAGCCACUCCUUUCCCAUCUGU
rnacentral:lncRNA from 1 species